rfam:Oryza brachyantha chromosome 7, whole genome shotgun sequence.
AAAAAGAAGAUUUCUGAGUUUUGUGUAUGGAGGGUUUGACCAUCCGUCUUAUUUGAAAAAUUUAUUAAAAAAUUGAAAAAAAAUAGUGACAUGUAAAGUACUAUUCAUGUUCUAUCAUGUAGUAACAAUAAAAACAUUAAUCAUAAAAAAUUUUCAAAUAAGACGAAGAGUCAAAAAUUCUAUCCAAAAACUCAGAAAUUCGUUUAUU